rnacentral:rRNA from 1 species
GACGGAGGAUGCAAGCGUUAUCCGGAAUGAUUGGGCGUAAAGCGUCCGCAGGUGGCAGUUCAAGUCUGCUGUCAAAGACCGGGGCUUAACUUCGGAAAGGCAGUGGAAACUGAACAGCUAGAGUAUGGUAGGGGCAGAGGGAAUUCCUGGUGUAGCGGCGAAAUGCGUAGAGAUCAGGAGGAAUACCUAUGGCGAAAGCAGGCUACUGGACCGUCACUGACUCUGAUCUGCGAAAGCUAGGGGAGCAAACAGG